AGACUUAAAAAAAAUUCAGAAAGGAGGAGAGAUAAUACAAACUUAAGAUAAAACAUGCUUGGCAAGAACUCGAACAAAAUCCAGUAAAACAAACAAGAUUAAAGAACUCCACAGGAGACACAUACAAUAGAAUAAUACCGGAAAGCAUAGCAAGGGACAUGUAGGAAAAUAUAGCAGAGAUUAGCAUGUGAGCCUAGUCUAGAGGCAUAGUAGAAUACCAAACACAGGGGUAUCACGUAUAGUAGAUAAAGAAGAACAGAAGAACAACACAUGUGGUAAAAAGAAAACACCUGAGCAUAAUAUAGGCAAACAUACAUAAAUAAAAGGGAAGGAAGAAGCAAAAGAUGUUUUGAAAACCUUUCAGAAACCCUAAUUCAAAGACAACAAUUUUAAAAGGAAAUUUUGGGGAAAACACUUUAAAAGUCAUGUAAAGCGCAAAUACAUCACAGAUUUAAGAAAAUAAACAGAGAAAAA
rnacentral:lncRNA from 1 species